rnacentral:lncRNA from 1 species
CACCAAGGGGCGCACAGCCUGAGAGGAGCUGUACAGCAGUGGUCUCUGCACGGCUGCCCGCCACUCCCAGGGGUCCUGGCACGCAGCAAACGUUCCUGUAUUUCCACCUCUGCACUCCUGGCCCCUAGAGUCGGAGGAGGCCCCAGGACAGGGGUCCCCCCUGAAAAGGGGGACCAACCUUGUCAUUCUCUGGCUUGGCCUCAAGGCUCCCUCCCACCCACUGGGGAAGAGGACAAAAAUACAGUAAGUAGGGCAGAGAUUUAGCUCAGUGGGGCCGAGCCUGCCUCGAAAGCAAAAGGUCCUGAGUUCGAUCCUCAGUACCCAAAAAAAAUACGGUAAGUAUAAGGCGCAUCUCUCCUGUGCCUGGAGAGAUAAAUGAGUAACAGCAGUAAUAAAAAGAGUAACAGUAAUGAGAGCGGCCACUAUUUGGGGGCUGAUUUCUCAUUCUGAGCACUGUGAUAUGCACAAUACCCUUCCUCUCUCCUCUGAUCUUGGAAGGGCCUUGCAGGGUAAGUGUUGCCCUUGCUCCUCUUUCAUAGGCGAGGAGACUGAGGCACAGGGGACUGAGAUGGCUUGACAUGAAACAGGCAGAGCCACAAUGUGAGCCCAGGUCUGCGGGGCUGCCGUGUCCACAGUGCUCCAGCUGUCUGUCUGUCUGUCUGCCGCGCACAGCCAAACCACACUGGCCCCUGCAGAGCUCACUGCAGGAAGCUCAGGCCCAACCGAGACAUGACCCCGGCAGGACCAGCCAGGAGGGGCCCGCUGCUGGCCCGGGCUGUCCCAGCAAAGCCAGGCACCAUUUCUGCCCGGAGGACGCUGCCUUCGGGGCCACCGACCUCCAGCCCAUCUGUUCCUGUCCUGACCACAGCAGCAGCCGCAGGACCGAGCCCCUGCCCCGUCCCAGCCUCUGCUCUCUGCCUCCCUCCAACUCGCUGUGCACAGGGCUCUUUACCCUCCCCAGCCUCAGUUUCCGCCAGGGUAAAUGGGCACAACAUGGUCUGGCCUCUCUGUGUCCACGUGGAGAGCGGAAUGAAUGUGGCCCCAGCUGUGGCUGCAUCCCACCCUCCAGGGCCAUCCAUGUCCCGACGCCAUUGCCUGAGUCACCACCUCCAUCUCUCCAGCUCCCCGACCGCUCCCUCCUCAGCCCCUGCUCCUCCGGGUCCCUGAACUCAGCCUCUGCUGUGGCCCUGACCCCCGCCUGACUCCAGAAGCGGACGUGCCCAGGGUCACCUCUCCUGGGAUCCGAGGCCAGUGGCUUACCUGGUGCUGCUCCCCGCCUCUCCGUCCUCUCCCUCCUGCCCGGCUGCACUAUCAUGUGUGUCUGUGCACAGAGCUUCUCCAACUCUGCUUGCUGUGAUCAGAUCUCUUUUCUCUCCUUUGAACACUUCACUUCAGUCAAGGACACCUCACUGUCCCCCUUUUAUAUGCUGGGGACUGAACACCUGUCUUUCGCCUGUGAGGCAUGGACUCUACCUGGAAGCUGUGCCGCUAAAUAGCUCCCAUCUUCAUCUUGACCCCAAACUCUGGAGUCAUCAAAGACUCCUGACCCAAGGCCUUGUGGGUCUGAGGCUUCCUGGCCUUUACGGUUUACUCCUAGAGGUCCCUCCAAAGCCUCACGUGCUCAGAGGCAGGGUUUUUGGAAAGUGAUUAGAUCUUAGGGACCUACAGCUGAUUUGCUGUUAGGAGGUGGGUCUGGUCAGAAAGGGUGGGUCCCUGGGUCUGGCCUGGCCUCCUCCUCCCUUGACACUGUUUCCUGACCACCAUGCCAAGAGCAAUUUUUCUUCCACCAGGCCCGUCUGCUGUGGGGCCCUGCCCUGGAGCCAGUGGGCGAUGGACUGAACUGCUACAAACGGAGCCAAAAUCAACCUCCACAAGGAAAGCAACUAAGACACUGCUGUGAUCACAAAACUCACAUGCUUUUCUUCCUCCUCUUGGGAAAAAAGAUGAUAUGGACAAACUGUAACUAUUAAGCAAGUCACCCUGAUUGUACAACAAGAACACAGAAUGUCUGUCAGGGAGCGCUGGAGAUCUCUGUCCACGUUUGUGCCAGCUUGUUGUUCACGCUUGCUGGCCCAAGGAACAAGAGGUGACCUUUCCACCCCCAGAAUCAGACUCGGGUCAAAGAGCAACAUUUCCAGCGGGGGGCCUGCUUCCAGUCACUUCUACCCCUGGGGGGGCAAGAGGCCCGAUGCCCCCAGGACAAAUCUCCUGCUGCCAGAGGCUGAAUCCCUCUUGGUUAUCUUGGAAGAUACCCAAUCAGGCUUAGUCCAGGGAAAACAGCGAUGUUGUUUUUCCAGUAUCAGGGAUCGAACUCAGGACCUUGCGCUUGAGCUAAAUCCCCAGCCCAAAUAGCGAUGUUUUGAGGAAGGUUCUAAACACCCACUCUCAGCUCCUCCAAGAGGCCUCCCUGACCCCUCAGGGGGAGAAUCGAGAAUCACGCCAGUGCUCGCUGUUUCUCCUGAACUCUCUCUCCCUGGUCCCCGUCAUUCUCUGGGCGCACAUCAGAGGCUGCCACUGUGCUGAGCACACAGGGACCGGAAAGCAGCAGGCUCCUCGUUCGUUCAGCAACAGUCCAUGCCAUGUGUCAGGCGCAGGACCGGGCUGAGGGGAAAGUCUCUGUCUUCAGCAGUCAGGGGCAGACAGUUGGAAAACACACAGAGGCACCAAGAACGCGCUGCCAGCUGAGGAGCAGGGAUGGAGGCAGAGGGGCGAGCGUGUUGUGGAGUGGGGUAGAGUCUGUUCAGGCUUGGGGUGGCUCCGCUGAGAAGGUGGGACCCCAGCAGACCAGGAGGAGGAGGGCAGGGGCAGCCUGGGUUUCAAGGGAGGCAGAGGGAGUGGCACUAGGCCAGGGCAGAGGGAGGAAGGAAGCUGAGAGGGCAGAGGACCUGAAACAGCAGGCAGCCUUAGGGCUUCAUGGUGCUGCUGCUGCUGAUAAUCAUGGAGCGCUUUCUGACACAGGGUCUUGUUCUGGCCACUGGCUUUCCUAGGAUGUCCCAGCACAAGCCCCACCCCAGGCCCUGCUGCCCAGGUGACCUCUGCAGACCCAAGGACAGCCUGGGGGGUGAUGAAGAAUGCAUGAGCAGUGCAGGCAUAAACCCCUCAGGAAGAAUGUCAUCAUUAUAUACAGCUAAAGUACCGAUAAAGGUUUUGCUUCAAAAAAAUAAAACGCACGGGCCCCAGCUGCCUGACAGAACAGGCACCCAGCAGGGAAGGGGCGGCCCUGCCCUGUGAGCCCCAGCCCGGGGGCUCCCCAGGGGUGAGAAGCCCCUUGUCCCCCAGUGGUCACUCCCUGCACCCUCUGGGCUCAGCCAGGCUUCAGCAGCCUUGGACUAAGGAAGUGGAAAAGGAAGAUCCCCGGAGACCUGAGAGAUGGGGCCUAUGCAGGGUGCGGAAUGGACCCAGAGAGCCUGUGCAGUUUGCCCAAGGACACAGAGCGAGCCGGAGGUGCCCACAGCUGGUCGGCUGGCCUCUCAGUGAUGCCCAGGGGUGUCUGUCAGCUGUGAGGUGGGACAUCUGCCUCGUGCUGCUGCAUGUCCAGGCUUGACGGCCAAGCCGGAGGUCUGGGCUGAGCCUGGGGCCCCCUCUUGCUGCUCAGGCCUCAGAACACCCAGCAGCCAACAUGGCACAGGUGGCUCUGGCUCCAGAACCCUGGCACAGCCCCAGCCAGCUGCGGCCAUCCCUUCCGCCUCCCAGGGUAAGGACCCUUUCUGCAGGGGCUCGGAGGGAGGGUCUCCCCUGGGGGAGCAGCCCCUGGGGUCACUGUGGCAAGUCCUUUGCUCCCGGGAAGAUUCAGCCCAGUGGACCGGGACAGACUGGAGGGAGGAAUGAGCUGGAUCCUGCAAUGUCCAGCCCAGCCUGACGCCCCCAGGCACAGCCCUGGCACUGGCUGGGCCUUCAUGAGGCCGUCCAGCCUCCCUCGGGUGCCUCUGCACCUGGUCAGCACCGUGGCGGUGGCCGCCCAGCCUCCCUGGGUGGGAUCAAGUUUCCCACCUGUAGGUACAGGCCUCCUUCCUCCCUUGCGGGCCAGGGAGAGAGCUGGGCCCUUGUGAAUAAUUCAGAGCUUCGCGGCAGGCCCAGAGGCUCACAAGAGCAGAGCCGGGUCUCUUCCCUCGCAGCUCCCAGCCCUGCAUCCAGGCCUUGGGGAGCAAUAGCCCCCCACACCCCAAGGCAGGAUGCUCAGUGGCUGCAAUAGCCCCCAGCCCCAGCUCGCAGCCGGCCCUCCUGCCUGAACCCAGCCUGGCAGCCACACAAAAGCAUCUC